rnacentral:ncRNA from 2 species
UGCAGCAAGGAGCGUUGCGACAGGGAAACCCCUGCCAGGCUUGAUGCGAUGAACAAGUGAUCCCACUUGGCAACCGCGCUCACGUUAC